AAUGAACGCUAGCGAUAGGCUUAACACAUGCAAGUCGAGGGGCAGCAUGGUCUUAGCUUGCUAAGACUGAUGGCGACCGGCGCACGAGUGCUUAACGCGUAUCCAACUUUCCUCACAGAGGUGGAUAACCCGUCGCAAGACUGACUAAUACCGCGUACACUUGGGAUAGGGCAUCCUGACCCAAGCACAUUCAAUUCACUGUAAGAUAGGCAUGCGUCCCAUUAGCUAGUUGGUGAGGUAACGGCUCACCAAGGCGACGAUGGGUAGGGGAACUGAGAGGUUGAACCCCCGCACUGGUACUGAGACACGGACCAGACUGCGACGGGAGGCAGCAGUGAGUAAUAUUGGUCAAUGGGCGAGAGCCUGAACCAGCCAAGUCGCGUGAAGGAUGACUGGCUUAUGGAUUGUAAACUUCUUUGAUACGGGAAUAACAAGAGUAACGUGUGGCUCCUUGCAUGUACCGUAUGAAUAAGCAUCGGCUAACUCCGUG
rnacentral:rRNA from 1 species